rnacentral:rRNA from 1 species
CCUACGGGAGGCAGCAGUGGGGAAUAUUGGUCAAUGGACGAGAGUCUGAACCAGCAAAGUAGCGUGAAGGAUGACUGCCCUAUGGGUUGUAAACUUCUUUUAUAUGGGAAUAAAACGUUCCACGUGUGGGAUUUUGUAUGUACCAUAUGAAUAAGGAUCGGCUAACGCAGUGCCAGCAGCCGCGGUAAUACGGAGGAUCCGAGCGUUAUCCGGAUUUAUUGGGUUUAAAGGGAGCGUAGGCGGAUUGUUAAGUCAGUUGUGAAAGUUUGCGGCUCAACCGUAAAAUUGCAGUUGAAACUGGCAGUCUUGAGUACAGUAGAGGUGGGCGGAAUUCGUGGUGUAGCGGUGAAAUGCUUAGAUAUCACGAAGAACUCCGAUGGCGAAGGCAGUUCACUGGACUGCAACUGACACUGAGGCUCGAAAGUGUGGGGAUCAAACAGGAUUAGAUACCCGAGUAGUC